CCUUGCCAGCCCGCUCAAGAACUCAAAGGAAUUGACGGGGCCGCACAAGCGGAGGAGCAUGUGGUUUAAUUCGAUGAUACGCGAGGAACCUUACCUGGGCUCGAACGUAAGAUGACUGUAGGUGAAAGCUUACAUCUCUUCGGAGCAUUUUACGAGGUGCUGCAUGGUUGUCGUCAGCUCGUGCCGUGAGGUGUCGGGUUAAGUCCCAUAACGAGCGCAACCCCUACCUUUAGUUGCCAUCAGGUUAAGCUGGGGACUCUAAAGGAACUGCCUACGCAAGUAGUGAGGAAGGCGGGGAUGACGUCAAAUCAGCACGGCCCUUACGUCCAGGGCUACACACGUGCUACAAUGGCCGAUACAGAGGGCAGCUACCUGGUGACAGGAUGCAAAUCUCCAAAGUCGGUCUCAGUUCGGAUCGGAGUCUGCAACCCGACUCCAUGAAGUUGGAAUCGCUAGUAAUCGUGGAUCAGCAUGCCACGGUGAAUACGUUCCCGGGCCUU
rnacentral:rRNA from 1 species